rnacentral:piRNA from 1 species
UCCAUUGAGUGUCAGAGUUUAGACGUGA